rnacentral:rRNA from 1 species
GAUGAACGCUGGCGGCGUGCCUAAUACAUGCAAGUCGAGCGAACAGACGAGGAGCUUGCUCCUCUGACGUUAGCGGCGGACGGGUGAGUAACACGUGGAUAACCUACCUAUAAGACUGGGAUAACUUCGGGAAACCGGAGCUAAUACCGGAUAAUAUAUUGAACCGCAUGGUUCAAUAGCGAAAGACGGUUUUGCUGUCACUUAUAGAUGGAUCCGCGCCGCAUUAGCUAGUUGGUAAGGUAACGGCUUACCAAGGCAACGAUGCGUAGCCGACCUGAGAGGGUGAUCGGCCACACUGGAACUGAGACACGGUGCAGACUCCUACGGGAGGCAGCAGUAGGGAAUCUUCCGCAAUGGGCGAAAGCCUGACGGAGCAACGCCGCGUGAGUGAUGAAGGUCUUCGGAUCGUAAAACUCUGUUAUUAGGGAAGAACAAAUGUGUAAGUAACUAUGCACGUCUUGACGGUACCUAAUCAGAAAGCCACGGCUAACUACGUG